GCUUAACAAGAUUUCUCCAGGUUCUCUAGUUCGCUCCAGUUUUUGCUGCCUGAGGCCUGCUGUACUUGUCGAAAUGAAAUGCUACAUUCCGUGUUGACACGCCGCUCACCUCCUCAAGCUCCAGAUUGAUUUAUCCUAAUGACUCCUGUUGAAGCAGGGCACUGAGCAAGCUUGAGCACCGUCAGGACAUUCCAGCAUCACCUGCCGUCUCAUGAGCAUGUAGAUGCACUUAACCCUCAGGUCUGAAAGGAGCUGCAUAUGUCUGCUUGACACUUCAAGCAAGC